rnacentral:rRNA from 1 species
AGAUUGAACGCUGGCGGAAUGCUUUACACAUGCAAGUCGAACGGCAGCACGGGACUCAGGCAACUGAGCCCUGGUGGCGAGUGGCGAACGGGUGAGUAACAUAUCGGAACGUACCCAGUCGUGGGGGAUAACUCUCCGAAAGGAGAGCUAAUACCGCAUACGUCCUGAGGGAGAAAGCGGGGGACCUAAGGGUAACUGAGGGUCUCGCGCGAUUGGAGCGGCCGAUAUCGGAUUAGCUAGUUGGUGGGUAAGGCU